CACCCGCUAUCAUCUCACACCCAAACAAUCCAUUAUUGCUCAAUCCUCCCAUUCUUCCUCAAAAUCCCCCAAAUUCUCGUCUCUUUCUCGAACUACCAAGAUCAUCAUCCACAAAAUUGGUUCCCAAAAAUCAUCAUUCCAUUAACCCGCUUCCUCUUUUUCCAUUUAUUCAUACAAUGAUUUGGGGGAUUCUAUUGGUGAAUAUAUUAGAUCUCUUCGCUUUUCCUAUUUCCCUUUUUUUUUGUUUAAUUUGAUGUGAGAAAUUCAAACGUUAUUAGGCAAUAAAGUUGAGGCGAGAUGUUAUCUAUUGCUAAUUUUAUAUUUGGUUAGAACUUUUCUUCCCAAUUAAGUAUUAUAUGCUGGAAACAGAGGGUCUACUAAAAGUAAGCAAUAGUGGUUGCUUAAGUAGAAAGAAAGAAAAAAGAAAAGUUGAGAAAGACUUGAAAUGCAGAAUUAUGUGCUUUGCUGAAUGUGGGAAAUCCAUGGUAUUUUUCUUUUGGACUUGUAUCAAUAUACCCCAAGAAGAUAGUUGCUUUUGCUAAAACUCGAUUGGGUUCUUGAACAUUUUGUAUGGCUUGUCACGUUUUAACAGUUUCUUCCUGCUUUGUUUUAACAUAAAACUGAAAGUUCAAAUAGUUGGGUUGAGAUGUUAGUGCUUGAAUCUGCACUUCGAAAUUCAAGAAUGUUGAGAAGGUAAUGAUCCCCUUAAUGGCUGUGGUGUUGGGUGGUUUGCGCUAUGGUAUUUGGUUGUGGUGUUAAUUGUUGGCAAUGUUUGGUAAUAUUUGAAGUAAAGGUAGUAUUUAUGAUCGUAGAUUUGAGUUGAAGAUGGUAGUGAUGGUGCAUUGGAG
rnacentral:lncRNA from 1 species